AACCGCUGAAGAAAAUCUGUGAUUUCUGACACCUCAUAUGACAGCUGCAUCAGUAGCCUGAUUCUAGCACUGGACUGGGGUUC